AUUAAAGGUCAUGGACAGACGAUGCUCUGCACAAAGAAGAGGAUUUAUAGCAAGAAAAAUAUUUACAGAAAUGUGUAUACAGGACAGCAUGUUGGUAAAGUCAGGGCUUCGAAGGUCAUCUAUCUUUGUGUUUGGCUUUGCAUGUUCUCCCCUCGUUGUCGCAGUGUCCCCGUCACUGCCCUGGGGCAUUGGGAUCUCCACAGACCACAGGAUGGGCUCCCCCUACUGGCCACACCAACACCUCUCCCAGGAGCAACCCAGCUUUCCUC